rnacentral:rRNA from 1 species
AAAGGAAUAGACGGGGGCCCGCACAAGCGGAGGAGCAUGUGGUUUAAUUCGAUGAUACGCGAGGAACCUUACCAGGGCUUAAAUGGGAGACGACAGUUUGGGAAACCAGAUUUUCUUCGGACGUCUUUCAAGGUGCUGCAUGGUUGUCGUCAGCUCGUGCCGUGAGGUGUCAGGUUAAGUCCUAUAACGAGCGCAACCCCUAUUGUUAGUUGCCAGCGGGUCAUGCCGGGAACUCUAACAAGACUGCCGGUGCAAACCGUGAGGAAGGUGGGGAUGACGUCAAAUCAUCACGGCCCUUACGUCCUGGGCUACACACGUGCUACAAUGGACGGUACAGAGAGCAGCCACUGCGCAAGCAGGAGCGAAUCUUCAAAGCCGUUCUCAGUUCGGAUCGGAGUCUGCAACUCGACUCCGUGAAGCUGGAUUCGCUAGUAAUCGCAUAUCAGCCAUGAUGCGGUGAAUACGUUCCCGGGCCUUGUACACACCGCCCGU